GAACGAUGAAGCUGGAGCUUGCUCUGGUGGAUUAGUGGCGAACGGGUGAGUAACACGUGAGCAACCUGCCCCUGACUCUGGGAUAACAGCCGGAAACGGCUGCUAAUACCGGAUAUGCACCAUGAACGCAUGUUCUGUGGUGGGAAAGAUUUUUCGGUUAGGGAUGGGCUCGCGGCCUAUCAGCUUGUUGGUGAGGUAAUGGCUCACCAAGGCGUCGACGGGUAGCCGGCCUGAGAGGGUGACCGGCCACACUGGGACUGAGACACGGCCCAGACUCCUACGGGAGGCAGCAGUGGGGAAUAUUGCACAAUGGGCGAAAGCCUGAUGCAGCAACGCCGCGUGAGGGAUGACGGCCUUCGGGUUGUAAACCUCUUUUAGCAGGGAAGAAGCGAGAGUGACGGUACCUGCAGAAAAAGCGCCGGCUAACUACGUG
rnacentral:rRNA from 1 species